rnacentral:lncRNA from 1 species
AGGGCCACGCCCACAGCAUAUGAAGGUUCCCUGACUAGGGGUCCAUCAGAACUACAGCUGCCAGCCCAAGCCACAGCUCAUGGCAAUGCAGAAUCCUUAACCCACUGAGUGAGGCCAGGGAUCAAACCUGCAACUUCAUGGUUCCUAGUCGGAUUCGCUUCCACUUUGAACCGUGGACAUCCCUUUUCAUGGCUUACUAUGUGCUCCAACUACAUAAGAACUUUACUGAAAAUUUUUGAGGCAUUGCUGUUGUCCCAAAGGGUUGGGAAGGUCUCUGAGGAUGCAGUCACAUACCAUCUACCCUGCGUUCCCACACAGCUGACAGAAAAUGGAGCAGAACCUUCUCAAAGAAUGGCCAAGGCACUCCCAAAGAAGAAAUGUGCUUUAAUAUGCAAGGGGAUGAUGUUUAUUCUUACAAGCAUCCUACCUUGAAAGGCAUAAAGAGUUCCUAUGAAACUAUGGUGAUUAAAGCUUGUAAUAUUUGGGAAACAAUAACUAUACUGACCAACAGACCAGAAUAGAGUCCAAAGAGAAGCACACUCUUAAGUACAACUGGACAACAUACCAGAAUUUGCCCUUCAGUAUCUUGGAGAAAGGGGAACUAUUCACAAAUUAAGUCUGAGACAAGUGGUUACCCAUGUGCUAAGGACUAAAAUUACAGUCUUACUUCCCAUCAUAAGCAAAAGAUCAAUUAAAAGGGGAUUAAAGUCUUAAUUGUGAAAAGCAAAAUAGAGAAACUAUUAGAGAAAAAUGUCUAACAACUGAAACUUCUUAAGUAAGUCACAAAAUAGUGCUAACCAUGACAAAUUUAAAUUUGACUAUGUUAUAAUUAAAAACUUAUGCUCAUCAUAAGGAACCAUGAAGAAAUUGAAAAGCCAACUACAAACUAAGAGAAAAUAUUUGUCACACAAUUGUUUUUUAGGAGUUCUUUAACAUUAAGGACAUUAAAAAUUCUUGUUAUAUAUGCUGUUAGUAAAACUAAACACAAUGCUAUAUCCUUUUAAACAUUAUGAAUCUGUGUCUAAUAAUUAUAAUUUCUGUGUACCACAUGGAGGAUAAUGCAGUAUUCCAAAAAACAAAACAAAGCAAAAAACCCACAUUUCUCUAGAAGUUGAAUUUUUUAUUAAAAAAUUUGUUUAGACAUAUUCUUUAUAGCUCUUGAGAUAAGCAACAUGCUGCCCUUCUUCUCAAGUAAUGCUGAAACAGGAAUUGCCCAGUUACUGCCACAGCUGUUCCUUUUAUAGCAACCUGAGCUGCUCUGCUCGCUGCUGGACUUAGCUUUGGAAUUUAGAGAGGGCUCAGCUGCCCAUACAGUUCAGAGAAUCAACCUAUGUUGACCUCAUUUUAGCCUAAUACUUUUUUUGAACCUGACAUGUCUAUUUACACGCUGUGAUAUUCAUUAAAUGACCUGUCUAGAUGACGUUGGGUCAAUAUUAUGCCUUACAAUAAAAUUGUGAGUGCUGCAAUAUCUGAUGUAUAAAGUUUUAUAGUGUGAUCAUUGCUCAAACAACAUCAUCUUAGUAUGAUUACAGAUUUCUAGAAUCAUUUCCAAGUGAUGUGAAUUAACAAUAGUGUCAUUCUACCAUUAUAUGCAUAUUUUAAUUUAUACUUAGUGGUUGGUAAUUUAAUAUUAAAAAUGUUAACAGAGCCUUUCUAUUUUUAAAAUUCAUAUUUGUAAGUCUUUAUUUCCAUACACACAUCAUAUAUUUCUAACUUGUUAAGUACAUGAAUGGAGAUGGUAUAAAUUGAUGAACAUAAAUGAAAUUCUUAAUAAUUUAACAUCCUGAAGAAAUUCAGAGGUAGAUAAAUAGGUACAUAUUGAUGUUAUACUGAUGGUACAUUCAAUUGAUCUAUUUUGUUUUCACAUUUUGGCAAAUGAAUAUUCUCUAUUGGUUGCGAAUUGUUCAAAUACUGCAAGAUUAAGAAAAUUGUCAACAUAAAAAAAGAAACACCAGCAUGGAUAAACAGUAUUAAUUUCAAGGGAAAUUUAAUAUUAGUAAUGUUUGUACUAAUCAUAAUAAUGCUUCACACUCUGCAGUUUACAAAGUGUAUCUACAUACCUUGAUUGACACAAAACCUAAAAUCCUGAGAUGUUUAUCUAGAGACCUGUCAUAAAAAUGCCUCAUUUUCUUCAUUCCAAUUCUGAGCAUUUUUAUCAUUCUCUAAACAAACUGUUAACCCCCUGAUGAAAUUGCUUACUCUCUACUAAUGUGGUAUUUCACCAAGUUGUUAUGUGUCCUCUCGAUCUAUUAUUUUUUUUAAGCCCAAUCCCCUCAUCUUCAGUAUCUUUAUAUCUUCCUUGCUUUCAGGUAGCAUAUAAGAACAACUCACAAACCAAAACCUUGUAAAUGUAAAUGCAGAAGUGUCAUGUAAUAAAAUCAUUCUCCAACUUCCAUGAAAUAAUACCUUAAAACCAAGUAAUUAUAUUGUGUGUCUUUCAAAUAGAAAACCCUCCACAGGCUAUCUAUACAUCCCCAAACGUAAUAUUUGGAAAUGUGAUAUGUUCAUGUUUGAAUUGGUAUUUAGAGCUUUUAUUUGAAAUAAACAAAAUUCCAAAUACAAUCAUACUCAAAGUGGCAACACAAUAAUUAACUCUUUCUAUACAUCAAAGAUUACUUUGAUAAAAAUGGUUAACAUUAGUUAUUCUUAAAAUAACUUUUAAAAUUUAAUUAUCAUAAUAUAUGAAUAAGGCCAAAAGAAAGUUAAUAGACCUAAAAUACUUAUUAAAGAAUAAUUUACUUGGAUUUGUAGAUUGUACUUGCUCUCAUUUGCCAUUGCAAAAAAAAAAAAAAAGUCCUAAUUAAAAACCAAAGAAGGAAUGAUGAUGCUUUGAUGCUUUCAUAAGACAUUCAUCAAAAAGAAUCAUCACAAAAAUGUGUUAAUUUAUACACUGAUGUAAAAGCAGAGAUACUAAAAUACAAUUACUGUUAAUAUUACAAAAAGCUAAAUGACCCUUAUCUGGUUUUUUGAGUAUUAAGUAAUCAUGGGUGCUAAGUCUAGUUGUUGACAUAGUACAUACCAGCCACUAUUCUAAAUGUUUACAGAUAUCAACUCGCAGUAAUCCUAAGAAUUAUAAAUAUUAAUCUCAUUUGUCAGAUGAGGAAACCAAAGCACAGAGAGCUUAAAAACCUUGCCUGAAUCCAUACAGCUCCUGAAUAACAAAGCUGGAAUUCAAACCUAGAAAAUUUAUUUUCAUUGUCCAUACUUAACCCUUU